CGUAGGGUGCGAGCGUUAAUCGGAAUUACUGGGCGUAAAGCGUGCGCAGGCGGUUUGUUAAGAUAGGCGUGAAAUCCCCGGGCUCAACCUGGGAACUGCGCUUGUGACUGGCAAGCUAGAGUACGGCAGAGGGGGGUGGAAUUCCACGUGUAGCAGUGAAAUGCGUAGAGAUGUGGAGGAACACCAAUGGCGAAGGCAGCCCCCUGGGUCGAUACUGACGCUCAUGCACGAAAGCGUGGGUAGCAAACAGGAUUAGAUACCCUGGUAGUCCACGCCCUAAACGAUGUCAACUAGGUGUUGGAUGGGUAAAACCAUUUAGUACCGGAGCUAACGCGUGAAGUUGACCGCCUGGGGAGUACGGCCGCAAGGUUA
rnacentral:rRNA from 1 species